rnacentral:rRNA from 1 species
ACCCUUCGGGGUUGAGUGGCGGACGGGUGAGUAACGCGUGAGAAUCUGCCUUCAGGUCGGGGACAACCACUGGAAACGGUGGCUAAUACCCGAUGUGCGCAACGUGAAAGAUUUAUCGCCUGAAGAGGAGCUCGCGUCUGAUUAGCUAGUUGGUGGGGUAAAAGCUCACCAAGGCGACGAUCAGUAGCUGGUCUGAGAGGAUGAUCAGCCACACUGGGACUGAGACACGGCCCAGACUCCUACGGGAGGCAGCAGUGGGGAAUUUUCCGCAAUGGGCGAAAGCCUGACGGAGCAAGACCGCGUGAGGGAGGAAGGCUCUUGGGUUGUAAACCUCUUUUCUCAGGGAAGAACACAAUGACGGUACCUGAGGAAUCAGCCUCGGCUAACUCCGUGCCAGCAGCCGCGGUAAUACGGAGGAGGCAAGCGUUAUCCGGAAUUAUUGGGCGUAAAGCGUCCGCAGGUGGCACUUCAAGUCUGUCGUCAAAGACUGGGGCUUAACCCUGGAAAGGCGGUGGAAACUGAAGCGCUAGAGUGUGGUAGGGGUAGAGGGAAUUCCCGGUGUAGCGGUGAAAUGCGUAGAGAUCGGGAAGAACAUCGGUGGCGAAGGCGCUCUACUGGACCACAACUGACACUCAGGGACGAAAGCUAGGGGAGCGAAUGGGAUUAGAUACCCCAGUAGUCCUAGCCGUA